CAUGUCUGUCUGUCCUAGUCCUCACUUUCUUUAUUUGGUUUAGUUCCUACCCUCAUUAGUUAAUUAUCGUUUGAUUGUCCCCACCUGAGUUUGAUUAUGUUGUUUUCCCGGGGAUGAACCCGCGAGAGUGGGAGAGCUCCGGAGAACAUCUGCGCUGUGUGUCGAUGCCCCUUAAGAGAUAAUAAGACCAAGCAAGCAAGGCAACUGCAAUGAAGCAUCAAGAAAGACAUGAGCAGGCCAGCCACCCUGAGACUGAUAAUUCAUGAGAAGACAUUUCUGUCAAAGUGGAUGGUGAGCAAAGAUGGUGGCCACGUUUUGGAGCAGCACCUGGGUUUUGCAGAUGGCUAUGUUUUCUUUGGCUGCUUGUCUUUUUUCCCCCGUUAUGUUUUAAAUAAAGAAUUUGAUAUUUUGCAAUUAUUGUGUCUGUUUUAAUUGAAUGCCAGUAGUACCCAUGUAGAGUAAAAAUAAAAUGAAUUCUAUAUAAAAAAUUAUAAAAUCUAAUGAAAUCUAUAUUAAAAUGAAUGAAUUACAGUAGUAUACUGAUAAAUCAAAUACAGUUUGCUACUGUAAAAACCCUUUGAAAUGUCUAACAGUGUACGCACUGUUCUUGAGCUAAUCUGAAGGCCACAUGAACUUUGGAAGUCUGUAGCGAUUGACUCUGCAGAUAGUUGCCGACCUCUGCGCACUAUGCGCCUCAGCAUCCGCUGGCCCCGCUCUGUCAUUUUACAUGGCCUACCACUUUGUGGCUGAGUUGCUGUUAUUCCCAAUCGCUUCCACUUUGUUAUAAUACCACUGACAGGUGACUGCGGAAUAUUUAGUAGCGAGGAAAUUUCACGACUGGACUUGUUGCACAGGUGGCAUCCUAUCACAGUACCACGCUGGAAUUCACUGAGCUCCUGAGAGCGGCCCAUUCUUUCACAAAUGUUUAUAGAAGCAGUCUGCAUGCCUAGGUGCUUCAUUUUAUACACCUGUGGCCAUGGAAGUGAUUGGAACACCUGAAUUCAAUUAUUUGGAUGGGUGAGCGAAUACUUUUGGCAAUAUAGUGUAUAUAUAUCAGUGGCGAGCGGUGACUUUUUUUAA